UACGGAGGAUGCGAGCGUUAUCCGGAUUUAUUGGGUUUAAAGGGUGCGUAGGCGGGUUAUCAAGUCAGCGGUAAAAUCGUGGAGCUUAACUCCAUCCAGCCGUUGAAACUGAUGAUCUUGAGUGGGCGAGAAGUAUGCGGAAUGCGUGGUGUAGCGGUGAAAUGCAUAGAUAUCACGCAGAACUCCGAUUGCGAAGGCAGCAUACCGGCGCCCGACUGACGCUGAAGCACGAAAGCGUGGGUAUCGAACAGG
rnacentral:rRNA from 1 species